AGAGGACGUUGCCGGAGAGGGACACUGUCCCCGCUUUCUCUCCCCCGUUAGAACAUCGGUUAAUGUGUAACACGUACAGAGAUUGUGGGGGGUGGGGGAGAGCGUUUUGGAUGAUAUUAUAAAAACAGAGGGAAUAACGAAACACAAAAAAAACUAGACCGGACUGUGUUGGAUUCCGGUUUACAAAGGAACAAGAUGUUGACGGUAACAUGUCUAUCUGACUUGUGUUGUAUCCUUAUAUAUAGUUACAUUCUUAUUAGAAUUUGGAUUGAGUAAUGGAACUUUGUUGCGUACAUGUAUAAUACUGAUGCGGUGUUAUGAGUUAGAAUCAACGACA
rnacentral:lncRNA from 1 species